CAGGGGGGGCUGGCAGAGAGAGGUGCAUGGAAAACUUUUUUGUUUAGGUUACUUCCUCCUGGAGAAUUGUCCCUCCGUUGCCUGCUUACCGAGUCAGGUGCCUGGCCUGCGUGGAUGGCUUGUUGGCAUUUCCCGGACCCUCUUGUCAUAAGGCUGAGACCUGAGAAGCCAAUUCUGUCCCGGAGGUGAGAUCUGCCCGGAUAAUCGUAGGCUGACGGGCUCCCAGCUCUGGCGCGAUGGUUGACGUGUACCUCCCCUUUCACACUGUGUUCGUCUGGGUGAUAAAGUGUGUGGGGCGCCUCUCUGCCAGCUCCCUGUCCUCUUGGGAAAUGUCUGCGCUUUGUGAGUUUGGGAAUCGGCUGGGGACCCAGGGAGGUGGGUACGGGCGGAGGAGCUGCCUUCCUCGGGGAGGCGGCGCAGCGCGGGGUUACUUAGGGGACCAGGCCAGCGACCAGAACCGGCCCCCCACCCCUGGGAGGCCUGGGCUUGCCCUUCCCGGCGUGUCCGUGGCUGCGCCGCACGCGGCUCUGGGUGCGCUCCCGCUCCACCGCCGCUGCCGCCCACGCCCUACGUCCCCGCCUGGCAGCCUGGAGCCGGACCCCGCCUCCCUCGCCCCGAGAUGCCCGGGGCCUGCCGGGCGCCUGCAGCUAAGCGCGGAUCUCCACUGCAAGCCCUCGGUCCCCGCCUUGCCGGGCCUACUGGCGCCCCCCGGCGCGGUGCGUGUGAACUGUGGGCGAUAGUCUCGCCCGAGGCGGGCGGCGAGCGCUGCUUCCAGAUGCAGCCACCGCGACAGCACCCGGCGCGCCGGGACAGCGGUCGCCCCUCCGGAUACUCGACCUUCGGGACGGCGCGGACCCCAGGCAGCCCGCCCGGUCUCCUGGGAACAGCCCAGGCGCGCGUGCCGACUUUAACGCCGGUUCCUCUGAGUUUCUUUAGCAGUUUACCACGUAUAACUAAGCCUGUCUUUCUCAGAAGGAACCUUCCGGGCUGUGCUGUUGUUUAUUCGGCCAAUCUCUGUUAAUGGUUAUUAAAGGUGUCUUCACAUGGAAUCAAUCUAGGUUCCUGUCAGUGGUGGACUGGAUGA